CAAGGGUAGGGGUAAGAUCUGCGUACACACUACCAUUCCCAGACCCUACUAAGUGGGAUUAUACUGGAUUAUUGUUGUUGUUGAUGAAUGUCGUACAUGGGAUAGAAUGUGAAGUUAUUUAAAAAUUUUAUCAUGGAACACACUGCACUUCUAAAAUUAAAAUAUAUAUAUAUGGUAGCUACAGACAUACAUAAAAUGAUUAGGGUUCAUCAUAAAUGGACUAGAUUCAAGAUGGUUGUCAGCCUAUCGUAACUCUACUUUUAUCGUAUCGUAACCCUUCUUUUUAACUGGGAUUGAGACGGAAACUUGAACAACCUCAAAAAGAUACAUGAAUGAUUAGGGUUCAUCAUAAAUGGACUAGUUUUAUGAUGGUUGUCAGCCUAUCGUAACCCUUCUUUUUAUCUGGUAUUGAGACGGCAGCAUGAACAACCUCAAACAGGAACAUAUAUAAAAUGAAUUAAAAAAAAAAAAAAAAAAA
rnacentral:lncRNA from 1 species